rnacentral:rRNA from 1 species
CCUACGGGCGGCAGCAGUGAGGAAUAUUGGUCAAUGGGCGAGAGCCUGAACCAGCCAAGUAGCGUGAAGGAUGACGGCCCUACGGGUUGUAAACUUCUUUUAUAAAGGAAUAAAGUGAGGCACGUGUGCCUUUUUGUAUGUACUAUAUGAAUAAGGAUCGGCUAACUCCGUGCCAGCAGCCGCGGUAAUACGGAGGAUGCGAGCGUUAUCCGGAUUUAUUGGGUUUAAAGGGAGCGUAGAUGGGUUGUUAAGUCAGUGGUGAAAGUUUGUGGCUCAACCGUAAAAUUGCCAUUGAGACUGGUAGUCUUGAGUACAGUUGAGGUAGGCGGAAUUCGUGGUGUAGCGGUGAAAUGCUUAGAUAUCACGAAGAACUCCGAUUGCGAAGGCAGCUUACUAAACUGCCACUGACAUUGAUGCUCGAAAGUGUGGGUAUCAAACAGGAUUAGAUACCCCAGUAGUC